GGGGGCCGGAUGAAUCGAGAGGUUCACGUCCGGUCCUGCGAGGGGCUGGCGGGGAAGUUCCGCCGGUCUACUCACC
rfam:Necator americanus N_americanus-1.0_Cont2048.2, whole genome shotgun sequence.